rfam:Poecilia formosa, whole genome shotgun sequence.
GACGAGAUUGCUGAGUGGUUAUGGCAAAGGAUUGGUAAUCCGGUGUUCUCAGCAAGCGUGGGUUCAAAUCCCAUCCUUUUUG